rnacentral:ncRNA from 2 species
CCAUCCGAGGAGCGUUGCAGCGUUCCCCCGGCCAGCCAUGAGCUGGUCUGCGCGGGGCGUGAGGCUCGGAUUUCAUCCCGCAACGACGCUCGCCCACG